rnacentral:rRNA from 1 species
CAGUCGCCGCGGUAAUACGUAGGGUGCAAGCGUUAAUCGGAAUUACUGGGCGUAAAGCGUGCGCAGGCGGUUCGCUAAGACAGAUGUGAAAUCCCCGGGCUUAACCUGGGAACUGCAUUUGUGACUGGCGGGCUAGAGUAUGGCAGAGGGGGGUAGAAUUCCAUGUGUAGCAGUGAAAUGCGUAGAGAUGUGGAGGAAUACCGAUGGCGAAGGCAGCCCCCUGGGCCAAUACUGACGCUCAUGCACGAAAGCGUGGGGAGCAAACAGGAUUAGAUACCCCGGUAGUCCCUGUCUCUUAUAC